rnacentral:lncRNA from 1 species
AUUUCAUUUUUUUUUUCUCUUCUUAUUAAAUUACACAUUUUUUAAUAAAAUAAUAUUACACGUAAAUUUAAAAAAAAUUCUUUCUUUUUUAACCAAACAUUCUCCUAAAAGUUUUAACACUCUCAUUACAACGUGAAUAAUGAGGUCAAAUGAGAGAUGAAUUUAUUUAUUUUUCACUUUAUAAUUCAGUAAAAGUGGAAUGAUUUUUGGAGUAGGAAAGACUGCUUCGUUUAUAGUCAUAAAUUAUCUAUGAAAAACUUAUGUAGCCCCCAUUGGUGGAAUUAAAAUCAAUUUUUUUAAUAAAUUUUAAUAAAAAUUGAUGAAAUACUGUCGUCAUCCAUAUCAAAAUAUGACACCACACAGUGAAUUACACAGAAGGAUGAAAAUAUUCGUCCGACAAUUUUAUUUCCACAAGAAGAUGAUGAUAACAACAUAAACAGAAGAAAGAAAAACAUGAGUAAUAUAAUCUCAGUAUGAAAUAAAAGAAGCCAAGCGCUUGAUCAGAUCCUUUGCUUUCUCUGUUUCAGGAUUGAACAUAUGGAAGCAAUGAUCUUCUCCUUCAACCUCCACCAUCUCCACCUCCCCAUUCCAGCCACUUUUCUUUACAGUCUCAACAUAAAGAACUCCUCUCGACCUAAAUGGAUCCUUCUCUGCUACACAAACCAGCAGCCUUGAACACCCCAGCCCCGAUAAACUCGGCGCAUCUUCUACAAAUGGAUUGAUCAUCGCAUUGUCAAUCCCACCAGGAGCUGACGGAUAAGCAAAUAACCACAUCUUACAUGCUACAUUCUGCUCAAUUUCUUCUUUUGUUUCGGACCCGAUUGGCUUUGAUCCCCAGAAGUAAGGAUGAGACAGGAAUGCGCCCACAAUUUUCACAUCCCCGGGCAAAGGUUCUGCCCCAGCUCGGAGAAGAAUAUUAUGAACUAUAUUGCCUCCAGCACUGUCGCCACCUAUAUAGAUUUUACUGAAAUCACUGUGUUCAGUUAGCCAUGGUUCCUUUUCGAUGCCCGGUUUUUCAGUAACGUGCGAAGAUACCCAUUGAAGACCAGUCCAGGAAUCUUCAUAUGCUAUAGGCAAAGGGUGUUGAGGGGCGAGCCGGUAUUCAACAGAAACGAUUAAAGCUUUUGCUUCGGCCGCUAACAUGCUAAUGUAACGUUUCUCGAGGGAAUUGAAGGCGGAUCCGAUGCAAAAUCCACCGCCAUGGUAAUAAACCAAAACUGGGAGCUUUUGUUUUGGUUCUGUGAGUGUUGGGAGGUAUAGUCUGGCUUGAACCACUGGCGUAAUGUUCAAGUCUUUAGAAACUACGCCAGUGGCAGCGUCAUCCGGCGACGGAGGAACAUAGGGUGAAUCAAUGAGCCUCUCGACGGUGCCAUCUUUAUAUAGUUUGAUGACUGGAGAGAGGUCGAUGAGAACCUCUUUGUUGGUGUCCGAAGCCAUGGCAAUGUGGUUGAUAGAAAGAAAAUCAGUAGAUAGCGUUAGAUUUAUAAACUAAACAUUUGUCGGUGAACUGUACAUGCCAAGAGAUUCCGUAAAGAAAAAUCCUGCGUAAUUGUGAAGAAAAAUUGUAGGGGCCGUAAAGAUUGGGGUUUAAUUUGAUUGGUUUGCUUUCAUGAAUGCUUUUGAUUUUUCAUUGCAGAUAAAGAUACUUUUGAAAUUAUAACAAUCUGUCUCUUAUUUUUCGCAAUUCAACUUGGACUUUACUUGUUCGAGAAGAAUUUUGCCAUUUCAAAACGUUUUGGCCAGGGAAAACUGUUUUUCUUUAAAAUUGCCGUUUGAAAGUUUGUGACAAACUGCCAAACUUGGUAUACACUUCGUACACCAAACAUGAUUGGUUUGAAAAUAAGGGGAUUUGGGGAGAGCCUAUUUUGACACAUGAAUUUUUGUGGGAAUAAAGAACUGUGAAUGAAACUUUUUAAUUCGUUAUUAGGGUUGUCAAUUUAGAGGUUUUUUAAAGCAAAACACAUGUCAAAAUGGGGGGUUUUGAAGAUUACAAAGGGUGAAGAAAUUCAAGCUUGG